CCCUUAGAUGUUCUGGGCCGCACGCGCGCUACACUGAUCAGUGCAACAAGCAUCCGUCCUUGGCCGACAGGCUCGGGCAAUCUUUGAACGCUGGUCGUGAUGGGGAUAGACUUUUGCAAUUUUUGGUCUUCAACGAGGAAUUCCUAGUAAACGCAAGUCAUCAACUUGCAUUGAUUACGUCCCUGCCCUUUGUACACACCGCCCGUCGCACCUACCGAUUGAAUGGUCCGGUGAAGCCUCCGGAUUGGCGCGCACCUCGGUGCCGCCGAGAAGUUGGCUAAACCUUACCAUUUAGAGGAAGGUGAAGUCGUANCA
rnacentral:rRNA from 1 species